rnacentral:rRNA from 1 species
GUGAAACUCAAAGGAAUUGACGGGGACCCGCACAAGUAGCGGAGCAUGUGGUUUAAUUCGAAGCAACGCGAAGAACCUUACCUAAGCUGGACAUCCCAAUGACAUCUCCUUAAUCGGAGAGUUCCCUGCGGGGACAUUGGUGACAGGUGGUGCAUGGUUGUCGUCAGCUCGUGUCGUGAGAUGUUGGGUUAAGUCCCGCAACGAGCGCAACCCUUGUCUUUAGUUGCCAUCAUUAAGUUGGGCACUCUAGAGAGACUGCCAGGGAUAACCUGGAGGAAGGUGGGGAUGACGUCAAAUCAUCAUGCCCCUUAUGCUUAGGGCUACACACG